AAGUAGGACGCACAGUUUAUACCGUAGCUUGCUACACCAUAGACUGUGAGUUGCGAACGGGUGAGUAACGCGUAGGUAACCUGCCUAUUAGAGGGGGAUAACUAUUGGAAACGAUAGCUAAUACCGCAUAACAGUAUGUAACACAUGUUAGAUGCUUGAAAGAUGCAAUUGCAUCGCUAGUAGAUGGACCUGCGUUGUAUUAGCUAGUAGGUAGGGUAAAGGCCUACCUAGGCAACGAUACAUAGCCGACCUGAGAGGGUGAUCGGCCACACUGGGACUGAGACACGGCCCAGACUCCUACGGGAGGCAGCAGUAGGGAAUCUUCGGCAAUGGGGGGAACCCUGACCGAGCAACGCCGCGUGAGUGAAGAAGGUUUUCGGAUCGUAAAGCUCUGUUGUUAAGGAAGAACGAGUGUGAGAAUGGAAAGUUCAUGCUGUGACGGUACUUAACCAGAAAGGGACGGCUAACUACGUGCCAACCAGCCGCGGUAAUACGUAGGUCCCGAGCGUUGUCCGGAUUUAUUG
rnacentral:rRNA from 1 species